rnacentral:rRNA from 1 species
UUCUAGGAGGAUUAAACAAAAUGAGAGCUUUUUCUUGAGUCGGCGGAUGGUGGUGCAUGUCCGCUCUUAAUUGGUGGAGCGAUUUGUCCGGUUGAUUCCGAUAACGAACGAGGCUCUAGCCUAUUAAAUAUGUGCGUGGUUGCCUGCACCUUGCACCAUUCUUAGGACAAGUGGCUCCUAGCAGUGUUGUACGGAACGGCGUUCCAAGGAACGGCGUUCCUGGAACGCGUUCCUUUUAGGAGGAACGAAGGAACGCCGCCGUUCCAUUUUGCAUCCAUGGAACUGGAACGGGAACUCAUUACAUUUUUA